GUCCAAUCCGCCGCCCCUAUCCGAACUUCCGCUCCGCGGUCUCCCUCUUCCUCCCGAUGUAGACAGGGGCCUCGGCGGCGCUCGGUGGUGGCGGCUGCCCUCCUCCUCCUCACCCUCCUCCUCCUCCUCCUCAUCGCCUGCCUCUCAUCUCAAUUUUAGUUGGUGCCCUCUUCAGGUUUGCGUCUGCAGGAUGUUACUCACUCCAUUUUUGGAAUGUAUAAUCUGCACUGAUUGCGGCAUCUGAUCCAUGUGAACUUUGCUUUAUGAGAGGAGCUGAUUAGACAAUGCAACCAGGAUAGUUGCAGUUUUUUUGUCCAAGCUGUAAGAAGUUUCAUGUCCAGUUUCUGUAUUAGUCCAAGUUUGAAGUGGAUAAAACCUCAAUCCAUGUGAAAAAAGCAUGUGCGGCUAUGCUGAAGAAUGUUGCUCGCCAACGGCGCUAUAAGUUAAAGAAGAUGUAUUUUGGUCCUCUUCUACUACAUCAAGUGCCCAAGAAAUGUGUUGAUAUUUGUUUGAAAUGUGUUGAGACUUGUAAUGGUGAUGGCAUUGACAUGUGUAUGUCUUGUCAUUUUCUCUGUAACUGAUACCCUAUAUUCUGGAGAUGGGAUUAACAUGUAAUGAAGAUGGCAUUGAUCAUCUGUACCUUAUCUUUUGUUUUCUAAACCUUUUCUGUGAUGAAAAUAGGUUGUGAUCUGUGAUGAUAUUUGGUUGUGAUA